rnacentral:lncRNA from 1 species
UGCGGCGCCAGUGAUCCACGCCCGGCCUGAAGGUGGGCUACCAGGGCCGAGAGGGAAAGGGGACGCCGCGGCGGGGCUGCGGUGCGGAGCGCCGAGCUUUUAGGAUGCAUCAGUAAACAAAAAUCCCUCACUUGCGGAGUUGAUAUUCUUGCAAGGAGAAGACAGGAUAAACAAUAAACACAAACAGCAUUAUUCCUAAUAGCCAAGACGUGGAAGUAACCCAAGUGCCCAACGACUGAUGAACAGAUAAAGAAGAUGUGGUAUAUAUACACAAUGGAAUACUACUCAGCCAUAAAAAAGACAAAAUCGUCCCAUUUGCAACAACACGGGUGGACCUUGAGAGUAUUAUGUUAAGCAAAAUAAGCCAGACAGAGAAAGAGAAACACCAUGUGAUUUCACUCAUAUAUGGAAGAUAAAUAAAUACACGGAC